CUUCUACUCCCUCCGUCCGAAAAAGCUUGUCCUUCAAAUGGAUGUAUCUAGCAUCAAGUUAGUGCUAGAUACAUCCAUUUGAGGGACAAGCUUGGGACAAGUUUUUUCGGACGGAGGAGUAUUUU
rnacentral:pre_miRNA from 1 species